rnacentral:rRNA from 1 species
UACGGAGGGAGCUAGCGUUGUUCGGAAUUACUGGGCGUAAAGCGCGCGUAGGCGGCUUUGUAAGUUAGAGGUGAAAUCCCGGAGCUCAACUCCGGAACUGCCUUUAAAACUGGAUCGCUUGAAUCCAGGAGAGGUGAGUGGAAUUCCGAGUGUAGAGGUGAAAUUCGUAGAUAUUCGGAAGAACACCAGUGGCGAAGGCGGCUCACUGGACUGGUAUUGACGCUGAGGUGCGAAAGCGUGGGGAGCAAACAGG